rnacentral:lncRNA from 1 species
GAAAAGUGAUGGGGUCAGUGAUUUGCCCAAAUCACUCGCAGAAACUGCCCAGAUCAUUAGCAGAGAUAGCACAGACUUGCAGAAAGUGAUUGGACCAGUGAUUUGCCCAAAUCACUGCCCCGAUCACAAUGACAGCAGAAAAUACAGCAGAGCGGGAAAUUUUUCAGGAAACCGAAUUUUGAGUUUUCAGAAGUCCAAAUCCAACUCAAUCACUACCAAAAC